rnacentral:rRNA from 1 species
GACGAACGCUGGCGGCGUGCUUAACACAUGCAAGUCGAACGGAAAGGCCCUGCUUGCAGGGUACUCAAGUGGCGAACGGGUGAGUAACACGUGGGUGAUCUGCCCUGCACUUCGGGAUAAGCCUGGGAAACUGGGUCUAAUACCGGAUAGGAGCCAUUUUUAGUGUGAUGGUUGGAAAGUUUUUUCGGUGUAGGAUGAGCUCGCGGCCUAUCAGCUUGUUGGUGGGGUAAUGGCCUACCAAGGCGGCGACGGGUAGCCGGCCUGAGAGGGUGGACGGCCACAUUGGGACUGAGAUACGGCCCAGACUCCUACGGGAGGCAGCAGUGGGGAAUAUUGCACAAUGGGCGCAAGCCUGAUGCAGCGACGCCGCGUGGGGGAUGACGGCCUUCGGGUUGUAAACUCCUUUCGCUAGGGACGAAGCUUUUUGUGUCGGUACCUAGAUAAGAAGCACCGGCUAACUACGUG